rnacentral:rRNA from 1 species
GAAAGUUUAUAGCAAUAGAAGGUGAAAUUGGUUAUUGGGGGUAAAUAGAAGUUGAAUUAUAAAGGGGAAAAAGCUUAAAAAUUUAGAUAUAAACCAGGAUUAGAUACCCUGCUAUACUUAAAGGGGAAAGAUAAAACUUGAAUACUAGUAGUUAUGGGCUUUAAAUUCAAAGAAUUUGGCGGUAUUUUAGUCUUGUUAGAGGAACCUGUUCUGUAAAUGAUACAACACGAAAAAUCUUACUUACUUUUGUUUAACAGCUUGUAUACCGUCAUUAUUAGAUAACCUUUGUUGAGAAAGUUAUUGAAAUUUAAGAAGUUAAAGUAUAUUAGAUCAAGGUGCAGUUUAUAAGUAAGAAGAAAUGGGUUACAAUAAAAUUUAUUUAUACGUAUCAGUAAUUGAAUAGUUUCUGUGAAGGAGGAUUUAAUUGUAACAUACAAUUUAAUAAGUUAGUGUGAUAUGAGAACUAAAGUAUGUACAUAUCGCCCGUCGCUUCCAUUUAAGGUGAGAUA